rnacentral:lncRNA from 1 species
UAUCAAACCACAAGAUCUGACUUUCACUUAGCAUCUUCAAGUGUGUGGAUAUAAGCAGCAGUGUUGGAUGCUUCUUUCUACUUGGCAGGUUCUUGGAAGAAAUGCCCAGGAAGAGAGUGUUCUGAGGCUCCUGUACCUUUCUGAGGAAGCUGUCUUCCCACACUGAAGUCACAAACUAGGGAGCUUUCAAACUACCUGUGUUUGCUCACCUCUCAGCAUGGGGAAGAAGCAUGAGGAAGUUUGGCACCCUGUGGUUCUCCCCACAGUAGAAACACUUACAAACCCUUACCCCUGCUCACACUUCCACCAUCAAUCUGAUGAUAUGAAACCACUUGACUUCAUUAAAGGGGAGUUAGAGAAACUGA